GGAGGAUGUAGGCGCCGGGUGCGCAUGACUGGGCCUUCUUGCUCUCGGUCGGCUUCUUGGUCUCGGCGUGCCCCAUUCCCGGCCCUGUCCCGCUACUCUUGCCUGUUCCAGUUCCCUCCUGUGGGUACCGCUAACGGCAUCUUCCCGAGGCCCAGAAUCCACCGUCAGGCAUAAAUUGAUUAUUCCUCGCCCACAUCUGUG
rnacentral:lncRNA from 1 species